GCGUUCGUAGCUCAACUGGAUAGAGCGUCUGACUUCGGAUCAGAAGGUUGAGGGUUCAAAUCCUUCCGGGCGCACCA
rnacentral:tRNA from 5 species